rnacentral:rRNA from 1 species
CCUACGGGAGGCAGCAGUGGGGAAUAUUGGGCAAUGGAGGAAACUCUGACCCAGCGACGCCGCGUGAGGGAUGAAGGCCUUCGGGUUGUAAACCUCUUUCAGUAGGGAAGAAGCGAAAGUGACGGUACCUACAGAAGAAGCACCGGCUAACUAUGUGCCAGCAGCCGCGGUAAUACAUAGGGUGCAAGCGUUGUCCGGAAUUAUUGGGCGUAAAGAGCUCGUAGGUGGUUCGAUACGUCGGAUGUGAAAAUCAGGGGCUCAACCCCUGACCUGCAUCCGA